GUGGCUUGAGCCUUGACACUUUUAUUCUGAGGUUCCAGCUAGCCCUAAGCAGGAAUUUCUGAGAUGGAUAUGUCUCAUUGAUCUUGGAUUUGAUCUGCAGCUAUAAGUUACAAAAGAGGGAGGUCUUACUGUGAAAUACAUCAGAAUAGCUCAAAACUUUCAGUAGGACAGCCAGGCGCGGUGGCUGAUGCCUGUAAUCCCAGCACUUUGGGAGGCCGAGGUGGGCGGAUCACGAGAUUCUUGUGCUGUCACUCAGGCUGGAGUGCAACGUUGAAAUCUCGGCUCACUGCAACUUCUGCCUCCCGGAUUCAGGCAAUUCUUGUGUCUCAGCCUCCUAAGAAGCUGAGAUUACAGGCUAAAUAUCUGGAUAUCUUAAAUCUCAGAUGAGCGUCUUAGCCUCUGGAUUACUGCUCAAUGAGGAAAGCUAUGAAAUGCAUGGAUAACUUGCUAAUCAGUAUUUGCCAUAUGUGCUAGCAGCAUCAGCAUCAGUUGGGAGAUUAUGGUGGCCUCCAUGUCAGACCUCCUAAAUCGGAAUAUCAGAGAAGGUGGCCCAGGUUACCAUGCUUCAUCUGCCAAUGCAUUGAAAACUUGGAAUGUAAAUUAAUUCAACCAUUGUGGAAGAUGGUGUAGUGAUUCCUCAAAGACCUAGAAGCAGAAAUAUCAUUUGAUCCAGAAAUCCCAUUACUGUGUAUACACCCAAAGGAAUAUAAACCAUUCUAUUACAAAGAUACAUGCGUGCGUAUGUUCAUUGCAGCAUUAUUCACAAUAGUAAAGACAUAGAGUCAACCCAAAUGCCCAUCAAAGACAAACAAUAUGUGGUACAUAUACACCAUG
rnacentral:lncRNA from 1 species